CAGCCGCCGCGGGAAUACGAAGGGGGCUAGCGUUGUUCGGAAUUACUGGGCGUAAAGCGCACGCAGGCGGCUCGAUAAAUUAGAAGUGAAAGCCUUGGGCUUAACCUGAGAAUUGCUUUUAAGACUGUCGAGCUAGAAUCCAGAAGAGGGUAGUGGAAUUCCGAGUGUAGAGGUGAAAUUCGUAGAUAUUCGGAGGAACACCAGUGGCGAAGGCGGCUCACUGGUCCAUUACUGACGCUGAGGUGCGAAAGCGUGGGGAGCAAACAGGAUUAGAUACCCCUGUAGUCCCUGUCUCUUAUAC
rnacentral:rRNA from 1 species